ACCUUCUUGGUGUCUAUCAAAAUAGAAUUCAGUCUAGGAUUUCUUCCAUUUUCCUGGAUCAAACUGCAUGAACUUCUUCCGAUUGAAGUUUAUUCAAAAUUAAUCAGCCACUUGUUUGUAUACUUUUCGCUCUUUCAGGAGCAGAAAAUAGAUCAAGAAUUUGAAUUGCUUGUGCUCGCAAGUGAUGGACUAUGGGAUGUUGUACCCAAUGAGGAUGCUGUUUCCAUUGCCAGAACAGAAGAAGAACCUGAGACAGCAGCUAGGAAAUUAACCGAGGCUGCUUUUACCCGGGGCAGUGCUGAUAACAUAACAUGCAUUGCAGUGAGAUUCCACCGUGACAAGAUCGCUCCAUCCAAUUCCCAGCAGGAUUAGACAUUGCCACGUAUCCUGCAUGUAUAGAUUCAUUGAUGUUGUAGGCAAUCUAUUAUUGAUAUCUAUGCAUGCAUAUAGCUGAAUUUGCA